rnacentral:rRNA from 1 species
UACGUAGGGUGCGAGCGUUGUCCGGAAUUAUUGGGCGUAAAGGGCUCGUAGGCGGUUUGUCGCGUCGGGAGUGAAAACCAGGUGCUUAACACCUGGCUUGCUUUCGAUACGGGCAGACUAGAGGUAUUCAGGGGAGAACGGAAUUCCUGGUGUAGCGAUGAAAUGCGCAGAUAUCAGGAGGAACACCGGUGGCGAAGGCGGUUCUCUGGGAAUGACCUGACGCUGAGGAGCGAAAGUGUGGGGAGCGAACAGG